CCCCCCCCCACCCCCCUCCUAUGUAUGUUAAAAAAGGCCUUGAUACUGGUCCUCUCAUUAUUUAUGCCACACAAUGUCUUACACCAGUACUUGUCCAAUUACCUAUUUUAUACAGAAAAAAACAACCCAAAAAAUGACUGUAUUCAAUAGAUUAAUAUUUAUAACCCAUAUGUAGAUUGUGACAUGUGCCCAGCGUCUCUCAUCCCAGGGCUUUUGGGGUGAAGACCCUGGGU